CCCUUAGAUGUUCUGGGCCGCACGCGCGCUACACUGAUGCAUUCAACAAGCCUAGCCUUGACCGAGAGGUCCGGGUAAUCUUUGAAACUGCAUCGUGAUGGGGCUAGAUUAUUGCAAUUAUUAAUCUUCAACGAGGAAUGCCUAGUAAGCGUGAUUCAUCAAAUCGCGUUGAUUGCGUCCCUGCCCUUUGUACACACCGCCCGUCGCUCCUACCGAUUGAAUGUGUUGGUGAGGAGCUCGGAUUGGCAGCAGUUGGUGGUUCGCCACCGGCUAUUGCUGAGAAGUCCUCCAAACCGCCCCAUUUAGAGGAAGGAGAAGUCGUAACA
rnacentral:rRNA from 1 species